UUUAAAGAUAUUUCCAGUACUUAUGCAUUGGAUUUCAUCAAAACUCCAAACUUAAUAGUAGUUUGACAAGAGUAGUACUCAAAUGGUGACCCCCUGAGAAGUUCUCAUGUAAGC
rnacentral:rRNA from 1 species